rnacentral:tRNA from 2 species
UAGCUUAUAUCUCAACGGUUAGAGAGUCUGAUUGAUAAUCGGAAGAUAUAGGUUCGAUUCCUAUUAAGCUAA